rnacentral:rRNA from 1 species
GACGAACGCUGGCGGCGUGCUUAACACAUGCAAGUCGAACGGAAAGGCCCUGCUUUUGUGGGGUGCUCGAGUGGCGAACGGGUGUGUAACACGCGAGUAACCUGCCCUUGACUUUGGGAUAACUUCAGGAAACUGGGGCUAAUACCGGAUAGGAGCUCCUGCUGCAUGGUGGGGGUUGGAUAGUUUCGGCGGUUGGGGAUGGACUCGCGGCUUAUCAGCUUGUUGGUGGGGUAGUGGCUUACCAAGGCUUUGACGGGUAGCCGGCCUGAGAGGGUGACCGGCGACAUGGGGACUGAGGGACGGCCCAGACUCCUACGGGAGGCAGCAGUGGGGAAUAUUGCGCAAUGAGCGGAAGCCUGUGGCAGCAGCGCCGCGUGCGGGAUGACGGCUUUCGGGGUAUGAACCGCUGUCGCCGGUGACGAGGCGUGAGUGACGGUAAUGGGUAAAGAAGCACCGGCUAACUACGUG